rnacentral:rRNA from 1 species
AUUGAACGCUGGCGGCAGGCCUAACACAUGCAAGUCGAGCGGAUGAAGGGAGCUUGCUCCUGGAGUCAGCGGCGGACGGGUGAGUAAUGCCUAGGAAUCUGCCUGGUAGUGGGGGAUAACGUCCGGAAACGGGCGCUAAUACCGCAUACGUCCUGAGGGAGAAAGUGGGGGAUCUUCGGACCUCACGCUAUCAGAUGAGCCUAGGUCGGAUUAGCUAGUUGGUGGGGUAAAGGCCUACCAAGGCGACGAUCCGUAACUGGUCUGAGAGGAUGAUCAGUCACACUGGAACUGAGACACGGUCCAGACUCCUACGGGAGGCAGCAGUGGGGAAUUUUGGACAAUGGGCGAAAGCCUGAUCCAGCCAUGCCGCGUGUGUGAAGAAGGUCUUCGGAUUGUAAAGCACUUUAAGUUGGGAGGAAGGGCAGUAAGUUAAUACCUUGCUGUUUUGACGUUACCAACAGAAUAAGCACCGGCUAACUUCGUG